ACACUCUAAAAAACGCUGGGUUGUUUUUUCAACCCAACUGCUGGGUUGAGGCCGUUGGAUAGGACUUUGGGAUGUUUUAACCCAAGUUUGGGUUGAAAAUAACUCUCUUUUUUAACCCAGCGGGGUGGGUUGAGGACGCGGACGUGAAGGAGAGCACGCACGUCACGUCAAAAUCGUACGUCUCCAGUGCGAGCAGCCGCCUUUUUCUCAGCGUGAUAGAAGCGAGAAGCGAGUGAAAGACUAUGACUUGUCCAGCUCCUGUCUUCAUUGUCCUCGCGCUGAGAGUUAAAGACACAGAAGCUGUUUGUGUGAGGAGUCACAGACCUGUGUGAGGAUGAGGAGGAGGUGUUCUUCUGAAGAGAGGGACAGACGGUUUAAGGAGAGUAAACUUCAGAAUAACAUCAAGUUAUCUUUAUUUUUACUAAGACUAAAAUAAUGUGUGUGUUUUUUUUAGAUGUUGAAAUCCAGAGACAAGAUAAUUUCAUUCUUUUGAGACUGAUAACUCAAACUAACUGGAGUUAAGGACACACAAGUCUGCUUGUGGGAGGAGGUGGUUUUCUCAGCUUCUUCUGAAGAGAGGGAAAGAUAGUUUAAG